rnacentral:rRNA from 1 species
UGGCGGCAGGCCUAACACAUGCAAGUCGAGCGGUAACAGAAAGUAGCUUGCUACUUUGCUGACGAGCGGCGGACGGGUGAGUAAUGCUUGGGAACAUGCCUUGAGGUGGGGGACAACAGUUGGAAACGACUGCUAAUACCGCAUAAUGUCUACGGACCAAAGGGGGCUUCGGCUCUCGCCUUUAGAUUGGCCCAAGUGGGAUUAGCUAGUUGGUGAGGUAAUGGCUCACCAAGGCAACGAUCCCUAGCUGGUUUGAGAGGAUGAUCAGCCACACUGGAACUGAGACACGGUCCAGACUCCUACGGGAGGCAGCAGUGGGGAAUAUUGCACAAUGGGCGAAAGCCUGAUGCAGCCAUGCCGCGUGUGUGAAGAAGGCCUUCGGGUUGUAAAGCACUUUCAGUCAGGAGGAAAGGGUGUGAGUUAAUACCUCAUAUCUGUGACGUUACUGACAGAAGAAGCACCGGCUAACUCCGUGCCAGCAGCCGCGGUAAUACGGAGGGUGCGAGCGUUAAUCGGAAUUCUGGGCGUAAAGCGUACGCAGGCGGUUUGUUAAGCGAGAUGUGAAAGCCCCGGGCUCAACCUGGGAACUGCAUUUCGAACUGGCAAACUAGAGUGUGAUAGAGGGUGGUAGAAUUUCAAGGUGUAGCGGUGAAAAUGC